CAGGAGGAUCAUGGUAACCAGUUAGAAGAGCAAAUACAUAGUUCUGACCAUUAUGACGGGCCUUGGUAAUGAGACUUAGAUCUGGAGGAUAUGCCCCUCCAUUAGCAAAUCUGGCUGCCUGUUCAUUGGCAUAUGGCUGAGGAAAACGGUCACUCAAUUUUCCAGGGCGUGUGAACAUUUCACCCUCAUCAUUUGGCCCAUCAACAACCUCAACCUCAGCCGCCAUAGCCUUUACCUCUUCUUCAGUGUAUGCAACACCCACAAGAUCACGAUAAGAUAUCAGGGACAUUGAAUGGCACGAUGCACAAACUUCUUGAUAGACUUGGUGACCGCGGCGAAUCGAAGCAUGGUCAUAUGAACUG
rnacentral:misc_RNA from 1 species